ACUAGCGCGGAGUGGGAAAAUCUUUCCGCCACAUUGACCAUCCGUCCGGAUGCCAACUUUGCCAUUCCCACGUCCGUUAUGCAGACAGCCAUUGCUCCUGUUGCCAAUGGCACAAACACGACCAAACUCCACUUGGUGUGGUCAAAGACACCAUCCUAUCUUUUUAUGGCAUUCCUGUACUUUGCAGACUUCCAGGACAGCGUGCUCCGACAAUUCGACAUCUUCUUCAACGGGAAUAGAGAACAACUCCCACACAACCCCUCCUACUUAGCUGCGUCUUGCAUGUAUAGUUCCUGCUGGUACAGGGUCAUCGACGGUAUAUUCACUGCAACUCUUACGCCCACGACUACGUCAGCAUUGCCUCCGAUGCUCAAUGCAUUCGAGGUCUACAACCUCAUCGCCCAUGAUGUCCCCAUGACGUUCCCUGCAGAUUUCGACGUCAUCAUGGGUAUAAAACUCGAAUAUGGAAAAAAAAAUUGGAUGGGCGAUCCAUGUUUCCCAACCAAAUAUGCAUGGGACGGCGUGAAAUGUAGCAGCACAACUGGUAACACUACGAGGAUAAUAUCUAUAGAUCUCUCCAAUAGCAGUUUGCAUGGCGUGAUAUCUAAUAAAUUUGCGUUGCUCACAACACUCGAAUAUUUAAAUUUGUUAGGCAACCGUCUGAAUGGCUCACUUCCAGAUUCCCUCUGUAAAAAUAAUGCAGGAUCUCACAUUUUCAGGUAUGAAUCUGAUCAAGACAUGUGCAACCAAACAAUUAGUCCGCCUUCAUCGAGAAAUAGAACAUCUAUCAUAUAUAUUUCAGUAGUGGUUCCUGCACUGGUAGUGGUUGUACUUGUCAUUUCAUAUCUGAUCUGGAGGCAGAAAGAAAAACCUAACACUUCUACUCGUGAUCCUGCCAGAGAGGCAGAACUUGUGAGUGCUCCAGUUAGUAGGAGAGGUCACGGGGAGCACCUACAAAGUACUGAGAAUCAUCGAUUCACAUAUAUGGAGUUGGAGAAGUUUACAAAUAAGUUCGAAAGGUUCAUUGGACAAGGAGGUUUUGGGCUUGUAUACUAUGGUCGUUUAGAAGACAAUACCGAGGUUGCUGUCAAGAUGCGUUCCGAGUCCUCUUCACAUGGGCUCGAUGAGUUCUUAGCUGAGGUUCAGCGCUUGACAAAGGUGCAUCACAGGAAUCUAGUAUCUGGUUACUGCUGGGAGAAAGAUCGUUUGGCACUGGUUUAUGAGUACAUGUCUCAAGGCAAUCUUUUUGAUCAUCUGAGAGGCAAAAUUCUUGCUUCUGAAACCUUGAAUUGGGGAAUGCGUGUGCGAGUUGUGCUUGAAGCUGCACAAGGCCUAGAUUAUCUACACAAGGGUUGUAGCCUGCCAAUAAUUCAUCGAGAUGUGAAGACAAGCAACAUCCUCUUGGGUCAACAUCUGCAAGCGAAAAUUGCUGAUUUUGGACUUUGCAAAACCUAUCUCAGUGACACACAGACUCACGUGUCAACCAUUGCAGCUGGGACCACAGGUUACAUCGACCCAGAAUACUACCACACUGGCAGGCUCACCGAGAGCAGCGAUGUUUACAGCUUCAGUGUAGUUCUACUGGAGAUAGCCACCGGCGAGCGUCCAAUACUGCCGAGCCAUGGCCACAUUGUUCAGCGAGUGAAACAAAAAAUUGCAUCUGGUGACAUCAACUUAGUCGCUGAUGCCCGGCUCAGUGAUGCCUAUGAUGUGAGUUCCAUGUGGAAAGUGAUUGACACCGCGAUGGCGUGCACAUCGGAUGUUGCUGUUCGAAGGCCAACAAUGGCUGCCGUGGUUGUGCAAUUGAGGGAGAGCCUGGCAUUGGAGGAAGCUCGUGAGGGCAGUGGUGUCAAUGGGAGCACCACGAAUGAUAUUGCAGCACUGUCUACAUUCGGUCCAUCAGCAAGAUGA
rnacentral:rRNA from 1 species